rnacentral:rRNA from 13 species
CAUCGCUCAACGAAUAAAAGGUACGCCGGGGAUAACAGGCUUAUGGUUUCUGAGAGUUCAUAUCGACGAGACCGUUUGGCACCUCGAUGUCUGCUUAUCACAUCCUGGAGCUGAAGUAGGUUCCAAGGGUUCGGCUGUUCGCCGACUAAAGUGGUACAUGAGCUGGGUUCAGAACGUCGUGAGACAGUUUGGUCCCUAUCUGCUGUGAAUGAUAAAAAUUGAAAAGUUUAAAUUUUAGUACGAGAGGAUCGAAUUUAGCAAACCAAUUGUGUACCGAUUGUUUUAAAAAAGCAUCGUCGGGUAGCUACGUUUGUAAAAGAUAAUCACUGAAUGCAUCUAAGUGAGAAACUUACUUUAAAACAAAUUUUUUAAAACGUGAAAGAUUAUUACGUAGAUAGGCUAAAUAC